rnacentral:lncRNA from 1 species
AAAUAAUCCUUUUAUUUAUGAAUUCACUCUAUAGAGUGCAUGUACACUAGAUUAGAUAGAGGUGAUCAGAAGUGUGUGAUCUUGACACCCAAAUGCUUCUGUGCAAAAUCUACAAGGUUGUUGAGUUCAUCCUCAUCAAUGAAGCCAUUGCGGUCCACGUCUGCAGACCGUAACCCAAGCCUGCUCUUGAACAUGGCGAAGCGUCCUCCAGUGGCGCGGAUAGCCUGGCGGAGUUCUUCUUUGCUGAUACGGCCAUCUUUGUCCGUAUCAAAUUUCUUCAGCCACUGUUUCAACUCCUCGGUUGUCAUAACACGCUUGCCAUCGCUGGUGAUGCAUCGACUUUUAAUCGCCAUAUUAUGAUAACCUUUUUUUGUUUGUGAAAGCCUGAAAAUCUUCUACUUCUCAUUCAUCGAUUUAUAACCUGUCCUUGUAUUCACUCUCACUCUUUCUUCUUAGUUUAGUCUUUUUUAAUUACGG